rnacentral:lncRNA from 1 species
CCGCCGCAGCCCGCACCCCGCAGCGCCGCUCGCCCCGCCCGGAGCACCCCCGCGAGCCUGCGACCACGCCGUUGUCCAGCCGCCGCUCCGCCGUUUGUGAAGCACAUUUGUGAAGCAGACAAGCUGUGAUUUGUGAUUUGUGACCCUAACUGUGAUUUGUGAAGCAGACAAGCAGUGAAGGUGAAACAUGUGCUAUUGUUUGCUUUGAGUUUGAUUUAAAGUUUUGAUUUGAUUAUUUAUUUGGUAGUAAUCCCAUGUUUAUAGGAUAUGUUUGUAGAUAUUCAAGAUGAAAAGAUUUUGAAACAUUUUCGAGGCUUAAGAACUCGGAAGAUAAAUUUACCUCGCAACAUCAACUCAUGGUACGUGCAAGAUUAUUGUAUUUCUAGAAUUGGUAUCGACUUAUUUUUAGACUAUAUAUUUCUUGAAUGUUUAAAUUAUAUCUUGGUUUUUGUGUCAUAUUAAACAUCAAUUGUAUUUUUUGUUUGGUUUAAAAAAAUCUAUAGUCUUAGCUUAGCAGCCCCCCUCUUGGAUCAAUCCUGGAUCCGCCACUGUUACGUUCCACGGUUAAUUUUGCACUGUCAUCUGCACUCCGCACUUCCGCAGAUCGUUAACUGGAUGCAGAACCGCUUCUGGGUUUUAAUUCCGAAAAACUUUCAUAAUCCCCCCCUCCCCCCCCCCCCCCCCCCCCCCCCACCUGGCUAUGGAAUAAUAUGUUUGGGCAUGGUAUGAACACCUAUCAUUCGUCGUUGGUGCAUAAAACUAUCGAGAAAUGGACGAAUUGCGGUGUUCUAGGAGAGCCCAGGUAGCUAUGUCACCCUGGAAAUUUGGUGAUUCAGAUGCCGACUGACUGACCGGCUUGACUGCCAGGCAACGACAUGCUCAAGAUUUUGGAGAGGAUUUUGAUCCGUCUGAUCGGAGCGUGUGUUUUUUUUAUGCUGCAGACCUGGCAGAGUUUUUAGGCGUAGAUUAGUUCUGAUGAUGUUUAUUUUGUUAAUUUGAGUCAGGUUUUUAGGUGUAGGUUUCUGAUUGAUACACGAGGUAACUGCUUCGAGUAUGACAAUGUAUCUAAACCAUUCGAUGCAUUCAUAUGUUUACAACUAUGCUGAAUACCUAUAGCAUUGCUCGACACACAAUUUGCAAAGCCGGCUGCAAUCCAUAGAGACAAAGACAAUGUUAGUAGAAGUUGGUACGAAUUAAAGCCAAGCAAACAUGCUGAAAAUCGGGAUGAACAUUUCCAGCAAUAUCUGCGAUGAAUCAGCGAGAUAAUCAGAUGAGAUCGCGCAGCUAUGUCACUAUGGGAACUAGGAACAGGCUGGGGUUCAGAUGUUGACGAAUGAAGCACCGCAACGCAAAGGCACAGGCCCACAGUGCAGCGCGUUCGCUUAUUUCUCUGUCUGGCCAUUUGGGCUCGCAAUUUGGCAAUCACACACGUCGCUCGCGGCCUGGUUCUUCCUGCCCGCCUCCUCCCAACGGGCCGUGAGCGCAGCAGACUCAUCUCACUUAUCACCCAACUCCGUAGCAGGCUAGCAGCGGCGCUAGCGCUAUUCACCCGCACCACCACCGCCGCCGCUGUUCCACGCCGUCCUCCCUCUAGACCCAGUGGCGGAGGCACCGCCCGGCCUGCCCGAGCAGGCCUCACCCUCACGGUCACGAACGCCAGACCCUAGUCGGUAGCCGCCUAGCGCCGGCUGCGGCUGGCCUCACCCUCACGGUCACGGACGCCAGACCCUAGUCGGUAGCCGCCUAGCGCCAGUGCGAGCCGCAGCCGGCUGCCCGCUUGCCCGGCUCCUUCCUCCGGCCCGGCCGCAGCAGCCCAGCAGGCGGCGGCCACGGGUAGUCCCCCGGCAAGCGGCAGCCGCAACAGGCUAUCCCCGGCCACCUGGCGCGGCAGCGCCGUCUAGUGCUUUGCCCCCCCACCGGCUGCCGCUCCGACCUUUACCGGACUUGGAUGUUGCCUCAGCAGUCCGCAGGCGCUAACUGUCGUGUUAUUUGAAUGUAGUGUUCUCUCUCUCUCUUUUGAAGUAUAGUGUUCUGUUUUUAGUUCUACUGUGGAGCAUUUUAACAUAUCAUUCCAGUGAUUAAGAGCGUCAAAAGUGUGUGCUUACUUGCAGGCUUGCAUCUAGGUCUUGGGUUACUUGCAUCAGUUAGUUGAGCGUUUGCCCAACAAUGUACGGUCCACCUGGUGACAUUUUUUUUUAUGAUGCUCUUUGUCUUAGUCUUAGUCUACAGUCUGCUGUUGAGAAACUUCUAUGCUAGAUAUAUAUUUUUUUAGGAGUAGAAAGGCUGGAUCUCUUGCUUCAAACAUGAGUUAGUUGCAGCUAUUGAUCACUUACAGUUCUGGUGACCAUGUUUCUUUUUAUCGGAUUUCUUUGACGAGAAUUUGAUGUGAUUCAAAAGCUAUAACCUCUUUUUCUCUCAGGUGGUCCUUUUCAUCGGCUUGCAAGUAAGAUUGGUCCAUGAAGUGUAGUUUAU